CUUUGAUUUGUCCCAGCUACCCAGGAGGCUCAGGCGGGAGGAUUGCUUGACCCUUGGAGGCCGAGGUUACAGUGGGUUGAGCUCGCGCGACUGCACUCUCCAGCCUGGGCUAUUGCUUUUGGAAGUAGGGCCUGGAUCUCCCUCCUGUUUGCUUGGGGAUAAACACAUAGUAUCAUGGGGUUAUGAACACAUGUUGCCUGCGCCAGAGAGCAACACUGGCUCCAGUUUUGAAAAUAAAGGCCUGCUGGGGGGCUGCCUUGCCCUGGUGUCUCCUGCAGAGGAAGGACGUGGCGUGUGUGGACAGCCAGCCUGGCGGUGGUGCGUAGUGACUGCCCAGCCAGUGGAAGCUGCUGCUCUUGCCUCUUCGGACCGUCCCUGCCCUGUCCAGGACGUCACUUCAUCGAAACACUGCAGAGACAAGGUCUCCCUAGGUGGCCCAGGCUGGUCUCAAACUCCUGGACUCAGCAGCCGGUGUUUUCAGCUGGUGCAGAUCCAGCUAGUAUGCUCGUUAGGCUUCUAGCUGAAGGAAGUGUCCACUGUAAUCUCGCUGGCAUCCCAUCACCUUCCAGAAGCAGGACGUC